rnacentral:rRNA from 1 species
AAUCAACGCUGGCGGCGUGCCUAACACAUGCAAGUCGAGCGAGAAAGUGUAGCAAUACAUGAGUACAGCGGCGCACGGGUGAGUAACACGUGGGUAAUCUGCCCUAGAGUGGGGAAUAACACCGGGAAACCGGUGCUAAUACCGCAUACGAUCACGAUGUCUGCGGAUGUUGUGAUGAAAGGAGCAAUUCGCUCUUGGAGGAGCCCGCGGCUGAUUAGCUAGUUGGUAAGGUAACGGCUUACCAAGGCAACGAUCAGUAGCCGGUCUGAGAGGACGGUCGGCCACACUGGAACUGAGACACGGUCCAGACUCCUACGGGAGGCAGCAGUGGGGAAUUUUUCGCAAUGGGGGCAACCCAGACGAAGCAACGCCGCGUGGGUGAUGAAGUCUCUUGGGACGUAAAACCCUUUCGACGGGGAAGAAACCGCAAGGUUGACGGUACCCGUAGAAGAAGCCCCGGCUAACUCCGUGCCAGCAGCCGCCGCAGUAA